rnacentral:rRNA from 1 species
UUGCAACCUUGAGAAAUUGAGGGUUCCUUCGGGACGGAAUACAAGGUGCUGCAUGGCUGUCGUCAGCUCGUGCCGUGAGGUGUUGGGUUAAGUCCUAUAACGAGCGCAACCCUUUUACUUAAUUGCCAGCACGUAAUGGUGGGGACUUUAAGUAGACUGCCCGUGCAAGCGGGAGGAAGGAGAGGACGAGGUCAAGUCAUCAUGGCCUUUAUGCCCAGGGCUACAAAUGUACUACAAUGGCAUGUACAGAGGGAUGCUACUUGGUAACAAGAUGCAAAUCUCAAAAGCAUGUCUCAGUUCGGAUUGGGGUCUGCAACUCGACCCCAUGAAGUUGGAAUCGCUAGUAAUCGCGUAUCAGCAAUGACGCGGUGAAUACGUUCUCGGACCUUGUACACACCGCCCAUCAAGCCAUGGGA